GGUGGCCCAGCACUCUCAGCAGUUAGGGCUGUACUUGUGAGUGGCAAGGAAAGGGGCUAGCGUCAUUCAACCCUCACUGCAUGCCUCCCAUAAAGGCAAGCUGCCCUUGACCCUGACCAUCUGUAAUCACUAAGCAAAAACACAGCAGAGGGUCAAGGCAAAGGUCACCAGCCAGGGGCCACAGGUCAGGUUGCCAGGCACUCCCUCUUUAUCUCCGUACACUCACCUGUGGUGGAGUAGACACAGUGCAGGCUCAGUCCUGCAGACUCCUUUGAUACUUCCUGGUAAGUUCAGCGCCAUGUUGCCUGAGGCUCUUCACAUGUUUUCAAAGACUAUACGUAGUUGACAUAACAAUCAUCAGCCCUCGAUAAAUAAUGGCGUUUUGCUAUAAAUAAAAUACAAGUGUCCAUGUCUAAUUCACAAUUCACAUAAAAGCCAGACCCGGGUCAGCUUACUUAAACAACAGUGUGGAAAGUUGUUGGCUGGAAUUUUCUUCAGGGUAACUGAAGCU
rnacentral:lncRNA from 10 species